rnacentral:rRNA from 1 species
AUUGAACGCUGUCGGCAGGCUUAACACAUGCAAGUCGAGCGAGCGGCGGACGGGUGAGUAAUGUCUGGGAAACUGCCUGAUGGCGGGGGAUAACUACUGGAAACUGUAGCUAAUACCGCAUACCAUCAGAUGUGCCCAGAUGGGCUUAGCUAGUAGGUGGGGUAAUGGCGCACCUAGGCGCCGAUCCCUAGCUGGUCUGAGAGGAUGACACGCAACACUGGAACCGAGAUACGGGCCAGACUCCUACGGGAGGCAGCAGUGGGGAAGAUUGCACAAUGGGCGCAAGCCUGAUGCAGCCAUGCCGCGUGUGGGAAGAGGGCCUUCGGGUUGUAAAGCACUUUCAGCGAGGAGGCGUUACUCGCAGAAGAAGCACCGGCUAACUCCGUGCCAGCAGCCGCGGUAAUAC